UUGGAGGGCAAGUCUGGUGCCAGCAGCCGCGGUAAUUCCAGCUCCAAUAGCGUAUAUUAAAGUUGUUGCAGUUAAAAAGCUCGUAGUUGAAUUUCGGGAUUGGCGUGUCGGUCGUGCCUUACGGGGUAUGAACUGGUGCAGUCAAUUUCUCACCUUCUGGAGAACCGCGAUGUCCUUAAUUGGGUGCCGCGGGGAACCAGGACCUUUACUUUGAAAAAAUUAGAGUGUUUAAAGCAGGCAUUUUUGCUUGAAUACAUUAGCAUGGAAUAAUAAAAUAGGACGGCAUGGUUCUAUUUUGUUGGUUUCUAGGACCACCGUAAUGAUUAAUAGGGAUAGUUGGGGGCAUUAGUAUUCAAUUGUCAGAGGUGAAAUUCUUGGAUUUAUUGAAGACUAACUACUGCGAAAGCAUUUGCCAAGGAUGUUUUCAUUAAUCAAGAACGAAAGUUAGGGGAUCGAAGACGAUCAGAUACCGUCGUAGUCUUAACCAUAAACUAUGCCGACUAGGAAUCAGACGAUGUUAAUUUUUUAAUGACUCGUUUGGCACCUUACGGGAAACCAAAGUGUUUGGGUUC
rnacentral:rRNA from 1 species